rnacentral:misc_RNA from 1 species
CGAAUGGGUCCAAAGACUCUUAAAACCUACCAUGCUCCCCUAUGUGGAAAACAGGAAAGCCCUCCGGGGCAUAGGAAAUCUGAGAAGUUGAGAACUGCGCCCCGGCGCAUGACUAAAACAAAAAAUUA